GUUGCAUAUAAAUGGAUUUGAUUAUUGAUAUCUUUUGAUAUUUAGGGACAAGAUAAACAUGAGUUGGAGAGCUUAGUAAGGUACCUGGCUUUCAAACUGAUGUGAUCGAUUAUCUGAAGCUUUUGCAAAAAACUGUUGUUUGUGCUGGAUAAGUCCUUUGAGUUCUAUGAUGCAAAUAUAAAAUUGUGAAAUCCGUCCUCAAGGCCUACAUCAGAGGAAAAACCGAGGUACUGGAGAAAUAUUGUUCCCCUGAAAUAAUUGAGAGAUGUAAAGCCGAAUAUCAAGUUUGUGAGAUGCAGGGCACUUUUUAUGACAACAAGAUAUUACAUAUAUCUGAAGUCGACAUAAGAGAGACCAAAAUGAUGGGCGACAGUCCUUUAAUUAUUGUCGGGUUUCAUACAAAACAGGUGUAUUAUGUAUGAGAUAGACUUGGUGAAAUAACAGAAGGAGGCAAGGAUACUAUCCACACAGUUCAUUAUUUGUGGGCGAUGCAGCUUACGGAGGCAGAAGAAGGUUCUCAUAUGCCAGUUUGGAAGCUUAGAGAUAUGCAACAAGUUGGGGUCCGGGCGCUCAUUUGAUCAUGAAAUUGGUUCGAUAAGG